rnacentral:rRNA from 1 species
GACGAACCUUGCUAACGUUAUUCGGAAUUACUGGGCUUAAAGGGUGCGUAGGCGGUUCGGUAAGUCGGGUGUGAAAACUUUGGGCUUAACCCAAAGCGUGCAUCCGAUACUGCUGUGACUUGAGUUCGGUAGGGGAGUGGGGAAUUCCUAGUGUAGCGGUGAAAUGCGCAGAUAUUAGGAGGAACACCGGUGGCGAAGGCGCCACUCUGGGCCGAAACUGACGCUGAGGCACGAAAGCGUGGGGAGCAAACAGG